GCGCCUGUAGCUCAGCUGGAUAGAGCAACGGACUUCUAGUCCGUAGGCCACAGGUUCGAAUCCUGUCCGGGGGA
rnacentral:tRNA from 1 species